rnacentral:lncRNA from 1 species
UUUAAUGGCACCUCUACUAGCUCUAGAUUCGAUUCACCAAUUAAAUCUAAUUCUGUAUAUGUCGGUCCUUCCACCUCGUGAGUUUUAUCAAGUUCAAUUUUACAGGUAUUAGUUCCUUCUCUAGGAACUCCUUUUUCAAAAAGACUGCCUGGCUGCUGACAAACACCUUUUGUUCUGCAGCGAGGUAGAAGUAGUACCCUUUAAUUUUUUUGGGUACCCUACGAAUAAGCAUCUAUCA